rnacentral:rRNA from 1 species
AUACGGAGGGUGCAAGCGUUAAUCGGAAUUACUGGGCGUAAAGCGCACGCAGGCGGUCUGUUAAGUCAGAUGUGAAAUCCCCGGGCUCAACCUGGGAACUGCAUUUGAAACUGGCAGGCUUGAGUCUUGUAGAGGGGGGUAGAAUUCCAGGUGUAGCGGUGAAAUGCGUAGAGAUCUGGAGGAAUACCGGUGGCGAAGGCGGCCCCCCUGGACAAAGACUGACGCUCAGGUGCGAAAGCGUGGGGAGC